rnacentral:rRNA from 1 species
UCGGGAAUUUUGGGCAAUGGGGGAAACCCUGACCCAGCAACGCCGCGUGAAGGAUGAAGUAUUUCGGUAUGUAAACUUCGAAAGAAUAGGAAGAAUAAAUGACGGUACUAUUUAUAAGGUCCGGCUAACUACGUGCCAGCAGCCGCGGUAAUACGUAGGGACCAAGCGUUGUUCGGAUUUACUGGGCGUAAAGGGCGCGUAGGCGGUGUGUCAAGUCAGUUGUGAAAUCUCCGAGCUUAACUCGGAACGGUCAACUGAUACUGUCACACUAGAGUACAGAAGGGGCAAUCGGAAUUCUUGGUGUAGCGGUGAAAUGCGUAGAUAUCAAGAGGAACACCUGAGGCGAAGGCGGGUUGCUGGGCUGAUACUGACGCUGAGGCGCGAAAGCUAGGGUAGCAAACGGGAUUAGAUACCCCAGUAGUCCCUGAGCGGGCUGGCAAGGCGCAU